rnacentral:rRNA from 1 species
CCAUAUACCACCUUGGCGAUGUAUGAUUUAUUUGAUCUCAGCAGGGUUGGGCCUGGUUUGUACUUGAUGGAAGACCACUGGGAACACCAGAUGCCACAGUGGG